rnacentral:misc_RNA from 1 species
GUGGGAUUUAAAAUCUUUCCAAGUCAAAUGGAAAGAUUUAAAAAAAAUGAAAAUGUUAAGUUGAAUGAAUCUGAUACCUUGGGAUUAUGGUUCUUGUUCCUGUAUGGCAAGAAGUGGAUAAAUAGAGAUGCCAUGUGAAUAGUCAGUUGUUGGAAUGAGUUGCUGAAUUUCUGCAUUAAGCUUCAAGUCACCAAGGUCAUUUACUGCAAAAUUUGUUUCAGCAUCCAGGAACAAAACUCUCUUGUUGUUACAAUUAAUUUUAAUUCUACCCUUGUCAUCCAUUGCCAAUCUCCCUGCCACAGGGUAAAAUGGCGCAAGAACUUUGCUCAAAGCAUCUUUACUUGCUUCAAAUGAAUGAGGAUAAUCAUUAGACUUGUAGAGGAACACUAUAGUCUACUGGGAUGUGGUUUCUUUCCUUGCAAAGAGCCAUAAACGCUGAUUAGGCAAAUCUUGGGCUGGCUGUGUCAGAGUUGAUCUCAUCUUGUUGCCACCUGCAGUGAUACAAAAUCUUGGUUAAUUACUAUGGAAAAGAACUU